CACCAGCCGGAAUAGCAACCGGCGGAGCCCGUGCGCACCGCAGCGCAGCGCAGCGGCCGGGGGGUGCGGGCGCCCUCGCCGCCCAGCUACCUACCGCCGCCGCUGCCUCCCUUCCCCGCUUCUACCCUCCAGCAGACUCCCGCCGGGGCGACCCCUCCCAGGGUGACCAGGGGGAGGUGUUCCACGUGGCCAUAGCGUUUGCGUCACAAUGACCUGGCGGACAGGUGGGAGCCACGGCGUACACCCCAGGGUUCCCUCUGUGCUGUGCGUAGUGCCUGCUGCUUGCUUUCAGGUUAAAUUUCUGUAGCUUUAGAGGACAGGAGACUUCAUGACUUCAAUGCCAAGAAAAGUUACAGAGGCCUGCUGUACCUGGAAAUCAAGUUUGAGCUUCAAGAAUAAAGGCCAUGUUUUAAAAACA
rnacentral:antisense_RNA from 1 species